AGCGAACGCUGGCGGCAGGCCUAACACAUGCAAGUCGAGCGCCCAGCAAUGGGAGCGGCAGACGGGUGCGUAACACGUGGGAAUUUGCCUUUCGGUGGGGAAUAACGCAGGGAAACUUGCGCUAAUACCGCAUACGCCCGCAAGGGGAAAGAUUUAUCGCCGAAAGAUAAGCCCGCGUCUGAUUAGCUAGUUGGUAGGGUAAUGGCCUACCAAGGCGACGAUCAGUAGCUGGUCUGAGAGGAUGAUCAGCCACACUGGGACUGAGACACGGCCCAGACUCCUACGGGAGGCAGCAGUGGAGAAUAUUGGACAAUGGGGGCAACCCUGAUCCAGCCAUGCCGCGUGAGUGAUGAAGGCCUUAGGGUUGUAAAGCUCUUUUACCCGGGACGAUAAUGACUGUACCGGGAGAAUAAGCCCCGGCUAACUUCGUGCCAGCCGCCGCAGUAA
rnacentral:rRNA from 1 species